rnacentral:rRNA from 1 species
GAUCAACGCUGGCGGCGUGCCUAACGCAUGCAAGUCGAGCGGGGUGGACUUCGGUUCACUUACGCGGCGGACGGGUGCGGAACACGUGGGCAACCUGCCCCGAGGUGGGGGAUAGCCGGUGGAAACACCGGGUAAUUCCGCAUAAGGUCGCCAGUCGGAGGACUGGUGAGGAAAGGGUCUUUUUGACUCGCCUUGGGAGGGGCCUGCGGCCGAUUAGCUAGACGGUGGGGUAACGGCCUACCGUGGCGAUGAUCGGUAGCUGGUCUGAGAGGACGGCCAGCCACACGGGGACUGAGACACGGCCCCGACUCCUACGGGAGGCAGCAGCAAGGAAUCUUCCGCAAUGGGCGAAAGCCUGACGGAGCAACGCCGCGUGUGGGAUGACGCCUUUCGGGGUGUAAACCACUUUUCUCAGGGAAGAAGCACUGACGGUACCUGAGGAAGAAGGACCGGCUAACUACGUGCCAGCAGCCGCGGUAAUAC